GAUGAACGCUGGCGGCGUGCCUAAUACAUGCAAGUCGAGCGAACAGAUGAGGAGCUUGCUCCUCUGACGUUAGCGGCGGACGGGUGAGUAACACGUGGAUAACCUACCUAUAAGACUGGGAUAACUUCGGGAAACCGGAGCUAAUACCGGAUAAUAUAUUGAACCGCAUGGUUCAAUAGUGAAAGACGGUUUUGCUGUCACUUAUAGAUGGAUCCGCGCCGCAUUAGCUAGUUGGUAAGGUAACGGCUUACCAAGGCAACGAUGCGUAGCCGACCUGAGAGGGGGAUCGGCCACACUGGAACUGAGACACGGUCCAGACUCCUACGGGAGGCAGCAGUAGGGAAUCUUCCGCAAUGGGCGAAAGCCUGACGGAGCAACGCCGCGUGAGUGAUGAAGGUCUUCGGAUCGUAAAGCUCUGUUAUUAGGGAAGAACAAAUGUGUACGUAACUAUGCACGUCUUGACGGUACCUAAUCAGAAAGCCACGGCUAACUACGUG
rnacentral:rRNA from 1 species